rnacentral:lncRNA from 1 species
GUUUACAAUAGGGUUUUGAUACAAAAGUUGUCCUCUCUGGCAGCCAUAUUUAACUUCGUAUCAAGUCAAACGCAACAGCUCUUUUUAAAGACAUCGGAUAAUAGGUACACAUACUUGUAAGUUUAAACUCAGUCAUUUGAGUGUUCUUGAGAAAAAUAUUUUGAACAUUUUUAAAGUCCCUUGGCGGUCAUAUGUUUUAACCAAUUUAAAACUAUAAGUUACACCACUUGAAUAGGACCUUAUAGUGCACACGUAUAUCAAGUUUGGUUCAAUUUUGAUAAUUG